rnacentral:tRNA from 1 species
UCUGAAACAAGGUUAGCCUAGUGGACAUGGCAUCUGCCUGGUAAGCGGAACACUGUGAGUUCGAUUCCCAUCCCUGGACACUUUCUGAA